UUUUUUUUUUUUUUUUUUUUAAUUAUUCUUAUUAUAACAUAUAUGAUGAUCACUUCUGCAGCAUGUCUAAGUUAAGGCUCCAUACAGAGAGCAAAAAUGUGACCCCUUUAUAAAGAGAUUCAUACAAUUACAUGCCAAGACAGCAGAGGGUAGUGGAUCAAAAAAUAUAUAAGUGCAACAAACAGGGACAUAAAUUUUUAGAUCAAAUCAGCAUGAUAGCAAAUGGCAACAUAUAGAAACAGGUCAAGCACUGUGAAGAAUUUUGCAAAUGAAGUGUGGCUAGUUAAAGAACAUUAAUAGCUUUAAUUAGGUCAACCUAGAUAAUUUGGAAAAAGGGGAAAACCAGGGCGUACCACUUUUUCAUGGGCAGUGUGGGAUAGAACAAUUUUAAGACAUGGUUUGAAGGUGAGUAUUCUCUGUAGAUCCUGGAAAGUAUACUUGAUCUAACCCAUUCAUUACUAGUGUGUGUACAUCAUAUGGGUAUAAAAGGUACAGGAAGUAUUAAUCAACAUAACCUACUUCCAGUGAAACAGUUGUGACCCGCAGAAGUUGAAGACCUGGCCCAUAAUCCAUGGGUGAUAUGGUUCUCAAAACUACACUUACAGCCUUCCCUACUUACAGAGGAGCUGGCAAUCAGCCUCCUGUUCUGUGAAUUAGUCUCCAAAGACUCCUUGAGAAUCAUGCACAGUGGUCCUUAACUAAGAUUUUCCAUUGUGUCGGAGCUGAAUUUGAAACCUUUAGCAUUGUUUACAUGGUGCCGCUGCUGUUAUUUUCUCUUGGAAUUGCAAAUUUCCUAGUUAUGGGAAUCGUCAAAUGAAAACCAUUUCUCUUGUGGGCAAACCUUAACACGCCAACAGAGUGGAAGAAAAUGUCGCUGCUGGCACAUUGGAGAAAUGCCAAGUCAUCCAAACAAAAGGAGACAAUGUCCUUUACGAAAUCAAAAGAAAUCCACUGUAAAAGAAAUCCCUCAUAAAAUAUGAAGGGGAAGAAACUUUAAUAAAAGACAUAUCCACGAUAAAACCUUGAAAAUGCUUUA
rnacentral:lncRNA from 1 species